rnacentral:rRNA from 1 species
GAUGAACGCUGGCGGCGUGCCUAAUACAUGCAAGUCGAGCGAAUGGAUUGAGAGCUUGCUCUUAUGAAGUUAGCGGCGGACGGGUGAGUAACACGUGGGUAACCUGCCCAUAAGACUGGGAUAACUCCGGGAAACCGGGGCUAAUACCGGAUAACAUUUUGAACCGCAUGGUUCGAAAUUGAAAGGCGGCUUCGGCUGUCACUUGUGGAUGGACCCGCGUCGCAUUAGCUAGUUGGUGAGGUAACGGCUCACCAAGGCAACGAUGCGUAGCCGACCUGGGAGGGUGAUCGGCCACACUGGGACGGAGACACGGCCCAGAAUCCUACGGGAGGCAGCAGUAGGGAAUCUUCCGCAAUGGACGAAAGUCUGACGGAGCAACGCCGCGUGAGUGACGAAGGCUUUCGGGUCGUAAAACUCUGUUGUUAGGGAAGAACAAGUGCUAGUUGAAUAAGCUGGCACCUUGACGGUACCUAACCUGAAAGCCACGGCUAACUACGUGCCAGCAGCCGCCGUAA